AGUGAACGCUGGCGGUAGGCCUAACACAUGCAAGUCGAACGGCAGCACAGUAAGAGCUUGCUCUUACGGGUGGCGAGUGGCGGACGGGUGACGAAUACAUCGGAAUCUACUUUUUCGUGGGGGAUAACGUAGGGAAACUUACGCUAAUACCGCAUACGACCUACGGGUGAAAGCAGGGGAUCUUCGGACCUUGCGCGAUUGAAUGAGCCGAUGUCGGAUUAGCUAGUUGGCGGGGUAAAGGCCCACCAAGGCGACGAUCCGUAGCUGGUCUGAGAGGAUGAUCGGCCACACUGGAACUGGGCCACGCUCCAGACUCCUACGGGAGGCAGCAGUGGGGAAUAUUGGACAAUGGGCGCAAGCCUGAUCCAACCAUACCGCGUGGGUGAAGAAGGCCUUCGGGUUGUAAAGCCCUUUUGUUGGGAAAGAAAAGCAGCAGGUUAAUACCCCGCUGUUCUGACGGUACCCAAAGAAUAAGCACCGGCUAACUUCGUG
rnacentral:rRNA from 1 species